GAUGAACGCUGGCGGCGUGCUUAACACAUGCAAGUCGAACGGAGUGGCGAACGGGUGAGUAACACGUGGGUGAUCUGCCCUGUACUUCGGGAUACGCUUGGGAAACUGGGUCUAAUACCGGAUAGUAUGGGAUGAGCUCGCGGCCUAUCAGCUUGUUGGUGGGGUAAUGGCCUACCAAGGCGUCGACGGGUAGCCGGCCUGAGAGGGUGUACGGCCACAUGGGGACUGAGGUUCCGCCCGGACUCCGGCGGGAGGAAGCAGUGGCGUAGAUUGCACUAUGGGCGCAAUCCGGAUGCAGCGACGCCGCGGGGGGGGUGAAGGCCUUCGGGUUGUAAACUCCUUUCUCUAGGGACGCGGUACCUGGAGAAGAAGCACCGGCUAACUACGUGCCAGCCGCCGCGGUAAUAC
rnacentral:rRNA from 1 species